GCGGCAAGACGGAAAGACCCCGUGAACCUUUACUAUAGCUUGACACUGAACAUUGAGCCUUGAUGUGUAGGAUAGGUGGGAGGCUUUGAAGUGUGGACGCCAGUCUGCAUGGAGCCGACCUUGAAAUACCACCCUUUAAUGUUUGAUGUUCUAACGUGGACCCGUGAUCCGGGUUGCGGACAGUGUCUGGUGGGUAGUUUGACUGGGGCGGUCUCCUCCUAAAGAGUAACGGAGGAGCACGAAGGUUGGCUAAUCCUGGUCGGACAUCAGGAGGUUAGUGCAAUGGCAUAAGCCAGCUUGACUGCGAGCGUGACGGCGCGAGCAGGUGCGAAAGCAGGUCAUAGUGAUCCGGUGGUUCUGAAUGGAAGGGCCAUCGCUCAACGGAUAAAAGGUACUCCGGGGAUAACAGGCUGAUACCGCCCAAGAGUUCAUAUCGACGGCGGUGUUUGGCACCUCGAUGUCGGCUCAUCACAUCCUGGGGCUGAAGUAGGUCCCAAGGGUAUGGCUGUUCGCCAUUUAAAGUGGUACGCGAGCUGGGUUUAGAACGUCGUGAGACAGUUCGGUCCCUAUCUGCCGUGGGCGCUGGAGAACUGAGGGGGGCUGCUCCUAGUACGAGAGGACCGGAGUGGACGCAUCACUGGUGUUCGGGUUGUCAUGCCAAUGGCACUGCCCGGUAGCUAAAUGCGGAAGAGAUAAGUGCUGAAAGCAUCUAAGCACGAAACUUGCCCCGAGAUGAGUUCUCCCUGAGACUUUAGGUCUCCUGAAGGAACGUUGAAGACGACGACGUUGAUAGGCCGGGUGUGUAAGCGCAGCGAUGCGUUGAGCUAACCGGUACUAAUGAACCGUGAGGCUUAACCUUACAACGCCGAAG
rnacentral:rRNA from 1 species